UACGUAGGGGGCGAGCGUUGUCCGGAUUUAUUGGGCGUAAAACGCUUGUAGGCGGCCACGCCAAGUCGGAUGUGAAAUCUCCCGGCUUAACUGGGAGGGGUCAUCCGAUACUGGCGGGCUCGAGGCAGGUAGGGGGAAGCGGAAUUCCCGGUGUAGUGGUGGAAUGCGCAGAUAUCAGGAGGAACACCGGUGGCGAAGGCAGAUCUCUGGGCCUGUUCUGACGCUGAGGCGCGAAAGCUAGGGGAGCAAACAGG
rnacentral:rRNA from 1 species